rnacentral:rRNA from 1 species
UACGGAGGGUGCGAGCGUUGUCCGGAAUCACUGGGCGUAAAGGGCGCGUAGGCGGCUCGUGAAGUCAGUGGUGAAAGCCCAGGGCUCAACUCUGGGUCGGCCACUGAUACUCGCGAGCUCGAGUUUGGUAGAGGCAGAUGGAAUUCCGGGUGUAGCGGUGGAAUGCGUAGAGACCCGGAGGAACACCAGUGGCGAAGGCGGCUUCCUGGUCUGCGACUGACGCUGUGGCGCGAAAGCUAGGGGAGCAAACGGG